rnacentral:lncRNA from 1 species
UUUUGUAGGCGAAUUUCGGCAAUUCACUCAAAACACAGUAAGAUCCGACUGCAUUAACCGAUGAGCGCGCAUGCACUAGGAUAGAGAAAAUCAGCGUCCGUUAGGAAACAGACAUAGUUAUGGCCCAACCAAAUAGCCCGAGUGCAGCCCAAUUUAGUAAGCAUGUUUUGGGAUUUUUGUUUUCGUUUUUCUAAUUACUAUCGAGACCCGCUCUCACGGAACUCUACUCACCUGAGUACCUAACAAAACUUCCGCGGUUCUGACAACAGAAAGUGAGGAUUACGCGGCAGAACAGAA